GGGGCGUGAGAACUAUUAAAAAUAGUUCCCAGUGGGCAAUUACUGACUUUAGUGAAUGCUCCACAAGGCCCAAGCUACAAAAGAGGUCAGUGACUAAAAAUGUAGAAAAGUGAAAGGUAAGUAAAAUGUAACUUACUACAACAUGAUAUCUCUACUUAGCACAAAUAGCAUAAGUAUGAAAGCAACUAUGCAUCAAGUAAAAGUCUCCCCUAUCAUAAUGUUCACAAUGCGAAAUAGUAAAGUUCCGUUGUUUACUAUUCUAGUCAAUAUCCAAGUAAUAUUCUAAGUCAUCAUCUGUCCACAUGUCGUACUGAAUACUCAAAGUCAAAUCUGAAGAGACCCACCCGAAGGCUGUCUGUGGCCCUAAGACCCACCCGUAGGCUGUCUGGCCGGUGCCGAGCCUAAUGGCCCCGUGGUAGUUAUCAUUCCCACCCUAGGAAUGAGCCUGUCCCACGGCAAUCCACUUCGGCGCCCAAUCCUGCACGGUGAAUAUGAAUCGCGAUGGCUAUCUCCGGAGUGCCGGCUUGUAGGGAGCGACCCUCACAAGCAUGUGCGAAUGAGCACAAUGGCAAGUAGUCAAACGAUCUGUCGCAAGUACCAAGUCCUCAUGUCUAAUAACAUGGAAUGUGUCAAGUAUCUCAAUGGCCUAUCCCUAUGUCAUCAUGUCUCUAACAUGGAAUAUAGCAGAUAUGUAGUGGCCUAUCAAUAUGUCUCUAUGUUGCAGUUUCAUAGUUUACUAGUUUCAAGUGCCCCUUGAUGACACUCUUGUUCUCUAUGUCAAAGCAUGGCAACUAUGUUCCAAAGUAUAUAUUCCAAGUCAUAAUUCUCAUAAGAGAUGUAUUUUCCACUUGCAAAAUAAACACUUUUCCCGUAUGCAUGCAUUCUACUCAUAUAGCUCUACUAUAUAGUGAAAUUUUCAUAAUACACAAGGCAUGCAUUUUAAGUGCUCUAAAAUUCAUAUAAAUUCCAUUUAGCAUAGAAAUGAACUUAAAAAUAUUUUACAACAAGUAGAAAGAGCAUAGGGGCCAUUUCGCCCCAUUUCCACGAAGCCAAACCCACCAAAACUCUUGCAACUCUUCGCAAGCUCCGACGAAGAUGCCCACUAGCCUCCUAGCACCCUAAAGAUGUAGGAACAAGGGUUAAACGAACCUUACGAUUAACCCUAAACUCAAUCGAUAAGCAACAUAGGCUAAGAUGGAGAAAAACUCACCUAGGUGAAGAAAUUCUCUCUCUAGCUCCAAAUGGGAGUUAGAGUUCUUCAAAUCCAACCUAAAUAAAGGUUCCAAACCCAUCAAUUAGGUCUCAAAACCCUCAAAUCCAAAAACCCCCAAAAUAAACCCUAAAUCCCAAAAUCUAGGGUUUCAUCUAGUAAAACCUAGGAAAACAUGUAUCAAAUGGGGAUUACAAGCUACCAACCUCAAGAGAAGCUCCAAUCCAAGCUCAAAACCAAGUAGGGUUGAAGUUUGAUCCACCACAAAGCUCCAAAAGCAAGCUCCAAGCCUCCAAAGGUGAGAAAUGAGGAAGAAGAUGAUGCUCCAAGGCCUCUAAGCAAGCUCCUUCUCCUCUUCUUCUUCUUCCUCUUCUUCUCCCUCUCUUCUUCUCUCUCUAGAAUGCAAAGGGUGGAAAGAAAUGAGGGAAAGAGAGAGGAGAAAGGCUCUCUAUAGGCUCUAAAGUAACAAAAUCCUGAUAAGCCCCUCAAAAAUUCAAAAUCACAUCAGCUCGGUCUGGGCAGUUUUUGCCCAGAGGGACCGGUCUCCCCGACCUGGGACCGGUCUCUCAGCCUGCCUCCGAAAAUCCAACGUUCGGGAACCGGUCUCUCCCUGCGCGGGACCGGUCUCUCCCCGCGCAGACGCGCUCGGGGACCGGUCUCAACUGCCAGGGACCGGUUGCCUCGCCGGCUACGCAGCACUGUUCAC
rnacentral:lncRNA from 1 species